rnacentral:rRNA from 1 species
UCGGGAAUUUUGGGCAAUGGGCGAAAGCCUGACCCAGCAACGCCGCGUGAAGGAUGAAGUAUUUCGGUAUGUAAACUUCGAAAGAAUAGGAAGAAUAAAUGACGGUACUAUUUAUAAGGUCCGGCUAACUACGUGCCAGCAGCCGCGGUAAUACGUAGGGACCAAGCGUUGUUCGGAUUUACUGGGCGUAAAGGGCGCGUAGGCGGCAAUUCAAGUCAUCUGUGAAAUCUCCGGGCUUAACUCGGAACGGUCAGAUGAUACUGCUUUGCUAGAGUGCAGAAGGGGCAAUCGGAAUUCUUGGUGUAGCGGUGAAAUGCGUAGAUAUCAAGAGGAACACCUGAGGUGAAGACGGGUUGCUGGGCUGACACUGACGCCGAGGCGCGAAAGCCAGGGGAGCAAACGGGAUUAGAUACCCUCGUAGUCCCUGAGCGGGCUGGCAAGGCGCAU